UUUAAAAGUACAUUUUAAUUUCGUUCGCUAGUAAAUUCGUUUGUUUGUAUACUUGUGGCUUGUUAACUCGUAAAGCAAAGUUUGAUGACCUUUCGUGGCUGCUAAAUUUACAAAUGCACUCGAAAUGUAACCAAUCUAAAUGUUGCUUGCUUUAACUCAAAAGUUGAAUAUGUCGGAUUUUAAAUAAAGAACGUUCCUGGGUUUUGCUUUACCAGAUUAUAGAAGAUUUUAAUUUAUCAUACGUCUUACUAGAUAUAAAAUCCUGAGACGACAGAAAAGAUGAAAGACGGACGACGGAAUGUUAUAUUUUAGCCUUCGGUCAAGAAAGUUAUUUCAACAUGAAUAACAUUGUAAUAUAUCUGAUUACUCUAUUAUUAGUAGAAAUAAAAUACUUUACUUGUGGCCCCAUUACGGAGACUUAUUUGUAUAAUUCGGAUAAUGUAAUCGUAAAAAUUGUUGAUGAACAAAACCUGACAUCGGCGCAAAAUGGCGAUAUUACACCACUUAUCAAUUCUGACUUUGGAAAUACAAGUGAAGGUAUUAUAAAACAAGAGAACGGGGUAACAAUUGAGAACAGCUUUCAGAAUUCCUUCUUUCCGAUGCUAAAUAAUGAAACUGUACAAAAUGUUAUCGUGGGUUCUGAUUUUUUACAAACCGACAAUCCUUUACCGGAAACUUCCAUAGGAAUAAAUAGUUCCAUAAAAUAUGAAGAUGGAGUACCUCGAGCCAGUUUUCAAGUUGGUUGUAUUCAGGGUUACGCAAAAGCAGCUGAUGGUUCGUGUCAAGAGGUUUUAUAUGACUAAAUGUAUAUCACUUUUAACCCAGACAUACUUAAACGAUAACAAAUAUGAAAUAAUUAACAAGAUUAUCAGUAUAAGUUUACACGCGAAGAAAGGAAGUAAUGUUUAGAAUGAGGACAGUGAUUUUAAUAUUGUUAUUUGUAGCAAUUUUGCGAGUAGAAAGUGGAUUUUUAGAAGAUGUUCUAUUAAAACCAAUCAAUAAAUUCUAUAAUAUGACAGAGAAGAUUCAUAAAGCCAAAUUGGAUGCAAUAUCAAGACUUGAUGAAAAGUUAGGAAGAGCCACAAGUCAUAUUACAAAUUUGUUUGACGGGCACUCAAAGACGUUCAAAGACAAAAAGGAAGAACUAGGCAGUGAUGUAAAUCAUUCCGAGAAAAUUGUGAAUGAGGAUCCAGUUGCGUCUUUGGAUGUGAAUUGCGCAGAAGGUUCACCUGGAGCACUGAAUGGAUCCUGUCUACCAGAUGUUUAUGUGCGGUUUAAUGAUGACAUUGGAGAUAAUGAAUAAUUUUAAUAUGUUUUGCAUGUUAACCAUAAAACUUAAGUACAGUGUUUAACCUUAUCAGCUUAUCUACCAAAUAAAUUUCGCGUGCAUAUUAAGUCUUUUAAAAAUGUGAAAAAUAAGAUUUAAAAAAGCUUAUGUGAGGUACGACAUUUCUUGUACCGAGCUCUGUACCUAGUUCUUUAUUAAAAAAAAAUGUUUGGGUACAGUUGUGUCUUAUCUGUUAAAUUACUAUACUAUUUAUCGUUCA